GAUCUUAGGUAAAUCCGGGAUCUUAAGGCCGAGAGCUGAUGACGAGUUGUCUUUUAGACGACGAAGUGGUUGAUGCCAUGCUUCCAAGAAAAGCUUCUAAGCUUCAGGUAACCAGGAACCGUACCCCAAACCGACACAGGUGGUUGGGUAGAGAAUACCAAGGCGCUUGAGAGAACUCGGGUGAAGGAACUAGGCAAAAUGGCACCGUAACUUCGGGAGAAGGUGCGCCGGUGAGGGUGAAGGACUUGCUCCGUAAGCUCAUGCCGGUCGAAGAUACCAGGCCGCUGCGACUGUUUAUUAAAAACACAGCACUCUGCAAACACGAAAGUGGACGUAUAGGGUGUGACGCCUGCCCGGUGCCGGAAGGUUAAUUGAUGGGGUUAGCGCAAGCGAAGCUCUUGAUCGAAGCCCCGGUAAACGGCGGCCGUAACUAUAACGGUCCUAAGGUAGCGAAAUUCCUUGUCGGGUAAGUUCCGACCUGCACGAAUGGCGUAACGAUGGCGGCGCUGUCUCCACCCGAGACUCAGUGAAAUUGAAAUCGCUGUGAAGAUGCAGUGUAUCCGCGGCUAGACGGAAAGACCCCGUGAACCUUUACUAUAGCUUUGCACUGGACUUUGAAUUUGCUUGUGUAGGAUAGGUGGGAGGCUUUGAAGCGUGGACGCCAGUCUGCGUGGAGCCAACCUUGAAAUACCACCCUGGCAACUUUGAGGUUCUAACUCAGGUCCGUUAUCCGGAUCGAGGACAGUGUAUGGUGGGUAGUUUGACUGGGGCGGUCUCCUCCUAAAGAGUAACGGAGGAGUACGAAGGUGCGCUCAGACCGGUCGGAAAUCGGUCGUAGAGUAUAAAGGCAAAAGCGCGCUUGACUGCGAGACAGACACGUCGAGCAGGUACGAAAGUAGGUCUUAGUGAUCCGGUGGUUCUGUAUGGAAGGGCCAUCGCUCAACGGAUAAAAGGUACUCCGGGGAUAACAGGCUGAUACCGCCCAAGAGUUCAUAUCGACGGCGGUGUUUGGCACCUCGAUGUCGGCUCAUCACAUCCUGGGGCUGAAGCCGGUCCCAAGGGUAUGGCUGUUCGCCAUUUAAAGUGGUACGCGAGCUGGGUUUAGAACGUCGUGAGACAGUUCGGUCCCUAUCUGCCGUGGACGUUUGAGAUUUGAGAGGGGCUGCUCCUAGUACGAGAGGACCGGAGUGGACGAACCUCUGGUGUUCCGGUUGUCACGCCAGUGGCAUUGCCGGGUAGCUAUGUUCGGGAAAGAUAACCGCUGAAAGCAUCUAAGCGGGAAACUUGCCUCAAGAUGAGAUCUCACUGGAACCUUGAGUUCCCUGAAGGGCCGUCGAAGACUACGACGUUGAUAGGUGGGGUGUGUAAGCGCUGUGAGGCGUUGAGCUAACCCAUACUAAUUGCCCGUGAGGCUUGACCAU
rnacentral:rRNA from 1 species